rnacentral:rRNA from 1 species
AGCGAACGCUGGCGGCAGGCUUAACACAUGCAAGUCGAACGGUCCUUCGGGAUAGUGGCGGACGGGUGAGUAACACGUGGGAACGUACCCCUAGGUUCGGAACAACACAGGGAAACUUGUGCUAAUACCGGAUAAGCCCUUCGGGGGAAAGAUUUAUCGCCUUUGGAGCGGCCCGCGUCUGAUUAGCUUGUUGGUGAGGUAAUGGCUCACCAAGGCUACGAUCAGUAGCUGGUCUGAGAGGAUGGCCAGCCACACUGGGACUGAGACACGGCCCAGACUCCUACGGGAGGCAGCAGUGGGGAAUCUUGGGCAAUGGGCGAAAGCCUGACGCAGCCAUGCCGCGUGGAUGAUGAAGGGCUUAGGAUUGUAAAAUCCUUUCACCGGGGACGAUAAUGACGGUACCCGGAGAAGAAGCCCCGGCUAACUUCGUGCCAGCCGCCGCCGUAA